rnacentral:lncRNA from 1 species
AGGCUGAUUUGUAGGAAUUACCUCAAAAUCUUUUGCCCUGUAGCUUCUGGUUGGGGUCUGCCCCUGGGUAGCCCCAGGAAGAGGUUAGAAGGAAGAAGGUUAGUAAGACAGGGUAUUUGCCCACCUGCUCUUUUCCUGCAGGGUCUCCUGGGAGUAGUGAGGUCCAUCUACUGAAGGUCACUGCUCUCUCAAGGCAGCUCUCACUACAGUCAUCUCCUCCCAGCUUCUGGUAACCAUGUCCUCUGCUCAUCCCUUGGGUCCACUGUUGGUAGCAACCCCAACGUUCCUAGCCCUGGGGUAUUACACCAUCCUGUGCGGUUUGCCAGCCCUGCCAAUGCUUUUGUAAAUGCUUUAAUAAGUUCAAACCCUCCUGGAAGCACCUAAUUUGAGAGUGCAAACUGUUUCCUGCUGAGGCCAUGACUAAUACAAUGAGCUGGAUUAGAGGACUGCAGGUCCGGAAAGCUGCGUCAACGCGCCUCCACACCGCCCUCAAGCAGAGACAGGAGCAGCUCUCCCCCCUAAGCGGCAGAAACCACCACCUGCGCGUGCUCAAUCCAAAAAAUCCUUCUGAGCUGUAGUUUGUCCGCUUGUAAAAAGGAUGAGAAUUUGGUGCCUCAUCUGGGCCAUGAGAAUUUGUGAACAAAGUUCUGCUGGCACUGAAAAGCAUUUGGAUGUGUGGGGGAAUAUUUGAAACGCCUGAUGUGGCAUUCCAGCCCUCUGCGCUAGAUGUGUCUGUAGGUUCCUUUACAGUUCAUGAGAUCCCUUUUCUUGCGAAGAUUACCCCUUAUUGAACUUCUGUCUUCUGAGCAUAAAAUUCUUAAAAUAAAAGUUUCUGACAAUUUACUUUAAGUUACUGA